rnacentral:rRNA from 5 species
UAAACGACUCUCGGCAACGGAUAUCUCGGCUCUCGCAUCGAUGAAGAACGUAGCGAAAUGCGAUACUUGGUGUGAAUUGCAGAAUCCCGUGAACCAUCGAGUCUUUGAACGCAAGUUGCGCCCAAAGCCUUUUGGUUGAGGGCACGUCUGCCUGGGUGUCACAC